rnacentral:rRNA from 1 species
AUUGAACGCUGGCGGCAGGCCUAACACAUGCAAGUCGAACGAGUGGCGGACGGGUGAGUAAUGUCUGGGAAACUGCCUGAUGGAGGGGGAUAACUACUGAAAACGGUAGCUAAUACCGCAUCCCAUCAGAUGUGCCCAGAUGGGCUGAGCUUGUUGGUGGGGUACCGGCUCACCAAGGCGGAGAUCCCUAGCUGGUCUGAGAGGAUGACCAGCCACAGUGGAACUGGGACACGGUCCAGAAUCCUACGGGAGGCACCAGUGGGGAUGAUUGCACAAUGGGCGCAAGCCUGAUGCAGCCAUGCGGCGUGUAUGAAGAAGGCCUUCGGGUUGUAAAGUACUUUCAGCGGGGAGGCGUUACCCGCAGAAGAAGCACCGGCUAACUCCGUGCCAGCAGCCGCGGUAAUUC